rnacentral:lncRNA from 1 species
AAUGAUGUUGAAAUAAAUAUGAAAUGUGAUUUUUAGAUAAUUCCAAUAGUGAAGAUCAUAAAUUCAUAUGUAAUGUAGCCGAUCGUUGAAUUGGAUGUCCCAUCAUCGAAAACAACUUGAAAGCAUGAAAGCCUUCGUGUUUUUGAAAGCACACUAAAGCAGUACUCUCUCUAUAUAUAGAGAGAGAGUUCAGCUAAAAUGCUGUUGACAUCAAAUGGGUGCUAUUAUUAUUGAUUUGUUUUCGAUAAUGGAGCCUCUAAAUUGACGAUCUAUACUGUUGAGCAUGAUUUACACCACUUGAAAAUAUCUAAAAAUCAAAUUUUAUGUGUUUACGAUAUUUUUCUCGUGUAUUAAGGCUUCGUUUGGUUCGGGUAUAAGCAAGAAUUAGUUAUACUGGGGAUAGGUACAAGUAUGGGUUUUCGUAGGAACAAGAAUAUUUUUUUGUUGGAUGAAAAUGUGGGUAUAAGCUGAAACUAGAAAAAUUGUGUUUGGAUGAAAAUGUAGGUAUAAGGUGGAAUAGUUGGUAGUUAUAAAUAGAAAAUAAUGAUUUUACCCCUAUAAUUGAAUUUAAAAUUUUAAACUUAUAAUUUUAAAUUAAAAAUUUUAAAUUUGAAAUUUGAAAUUAAAAUUAAAACUUUUAAUUUUCAAAAUUUAAAUUUUAAAUAUCAAAUUUUAAAUUUAAAAUCUAAAAAAAUUAAAUUUAAAAAAUAAAAAUUAAAAAUAUCAAAUUUAUAAUUUAAACAUUAAAAUUUAUAAUUUAAAAUUAUAAAUUUAAAUUUUAAAAAACUAAAUUAUAAAUUUUAGAAAUUUAAAUUUAAACUAAAAAUCUCUAUCUCUCUCUCUCUCUACCCGG